rfam:Apaloderma vittatum contig24301, whole genome shotgun sequence.
GGGCUGGUCAGCUCAGUCAGUUGAGCAUGGCGCUGACAACGCCAAGGUCACGGGUUUAAUUCCCGUUCAGUCCC